UAGGUAAUCUUCGGCAAUGGGGGGAACCCUGACCGAGCAACGCCGCGUGAGUGAAGAAGGUUUUCGGAGCGUAAAGCUCUGUUGUUAAGGAAGAACGAGUGUGAGAAUGGAAAGUUAAUGAUGUGACGGUACUUAACCAGAAAGGGACGGCUAACUACGUGCCAGCAGCCGCGGUAAUACUUAGGUCUCGAGCGUGGUCCGGAUUUAUUGGGCGUAAAUCGAGUGCAGGCGGUUAGAAAAGUCUGAAGUAAAAGGCAGUGGCUCAACCAUUGUAGGCUCUUGAAACUGCUUAACUUGAGAGCAGAAGGGGAGAGUGGAAAUCCAUGUGUAGCGGUGAAAUGCGUAAAUAUAUGGUGGAACACCGGUGGCGAAAGCGGCUCGCUGGUCUGUGAAUGACGCUGAGGCUCGAAAGCGUGGGGAGCGAACAGG
rnacentral:rRNA from 1 species